rnacentral:rRNA from 1 species
UGUUGACCUCGGAUCAGGUAGGGAUACCCGCUGAACUUAAGCAUAUCAAUAC